rnacentral:rRNA from 1 species
CUGCUGCCUCCCGUAGGAGUCUGGGCCGUGUCUCAGUCCCAAUGUGGCCGGCCAACCUCUCAGUCCGGCUACUGAUCGUCGCCUUGGUGGGCCGUUACCCCGCCAACAAGCUAAUCAGACGCGAGCUCAUCUCAGAGCGAUAAAUCUUUGACAGCCAACCCCAUGCGGGAUAGCUGUAUCAUGCGGUAUUAGCGGCUGUUUCCAACCGUUAUUCCCCACUCCAAGGCAGAUUGCUCACGCG